rnacentral:rRNA from 1 species
UCGUAUUUCAUUGUCAGAGGUGAAAUUCUUGGAUUUAUGGAAGACGAACCACUGCGAAAGCAUUUGCCAAGGAUGUUUUCAUUAAUCAAGAACGAAAGUUGGGGGCUCGAAGACGAUCAGAUACCGUCCUAGUCUCAACCAUAAACGAUGCCGACCAGGGAUCGGCGGAUGUUGCUCUAAGGACUCCGCCAGCACCUUCUGAGAAAUCAGAGUGUUUGGGUUCCGGGGGGAGUAUGGUCGCAAGGCUGAAACUUAAA